ACUAACAAGGAUUCCCUUAGUAACGGCGAGUGAACCGGGAAGAGCUCAAAUUUAACCAUCUGGCUGUCUUCGAUAGUCCGAGUUGUAAUCUAUAGAAGCGUUUUCCGUGCUGAACUGUGUCUAAGUCCCUUGGAACAGGGUAUCAAAGAGGGUGACAAUCCCGUUCUUGACACAAUCAUCAGUGCUCUGUGAUACGUUCUCUACGGGUCGAGUUGUUUGGGAAUGCAGCUCAAAAUGGGUGGUAAAUUCCAUCUAACGCUAAAUAUUGGCGAGAGACCGAUAGCGAACAAGUACCGUGAGGGAAAGAUGAAAAGCACUUUGGAAAGAGAGUUAAACAGUACGUGAAAUUGUUGAAAGGGAAACGAUUGAAGUCAGUCGUGUUCAUUGGAUUCAGCCGGUCUUCGGUGUAUUUCCUUUGAACGGGUCAACAUCAGUUUUGUCCGGUGGAUAAAGGUGUUAGGAAUGUAUCUUCUUCGGAAGUGUUAUAGCCUAGCAUUGCAUACACUGGGUGAGACUGAGGACUGCAGCUCGCCUUUUGGCCGGGGUUCGCCCACGUUCGAGCUUAGGAUGUUGACAUAAUG
rnacentral:rRNA from 1 species